CAGACUGAGGGCGAAACAGCAGGCAGGACUGGGUGGAGACGUUCGGGGACGUGGCAACUGGAGUUUCUUCUCCGUAUAUUUCGGCAUUCAGUUCCUUUUUUUUUUUGUUUUAACUCAGGAAAAAAUCUCAAUUGCGUUUAGUAUUUUGAAAGCCACUUUAUUGCUUCCCGAGCCUCAGUCAUGUGUGGUGGGAGGCUGCUGUGGGUGGCACCUGGGGCGUCCACGGCCGCCAAGGCGGGAGGACGUCAGGCCCUGCUUGCUCCCACCCCUUCCAGGUGAGAGCUCCCGGGCACGCCCGUCGUUGGCUCUUCGUCCUCUUGGUGUUCUUCCCUGUUGCUUCAAAUCAGGUUCCUGUCUCAAAAAUCCGAAAAAGAAAUCCUCCCAAAUGACUCUGUGCCCGACGCUCCGUUAAGGCAUCGUGCUAGGCGUUCUCAAACUCGUGAAAUGACUACACUGCACAGGUUAACCUCAUUGCUACUCUUCCCCUUGCCUCCUAAUUCUCUGGUUAAACUUCCGCCCCCGAGGUUUCUAGAAAUCCCUGAGCUGGAAUGCGCUGCCUUCAUUAAGAGGGUGUUCUGCUUCCGUCUGCUCACAUUCAUCUAGUAAGCCCUCUCGUUAAAGAGGAGGCAGCACACCGAGGCCUGUCUAGAACUUCUUUCAUUUAACCAACAGUGAAUAUCUAAUCUACAAGAAACUGGAGCCGUGGCAGUUUAGGAGCCUGCCAAGGUUGCAUCCCUGGGAGCUUAUUUUCUAUUGUGGGAGACAGGAAAAGAACAAGUGAAUCAACUGUGAAAUUAAAUAAUUCAAACUUAAAGCUGUUGGAACUUUAAAUUAUUCUGAGCCUUGCGAAGAAUGUGGCGAUGGGGCCUGAGUCCCAUGGCAUACAGCUGCAAUGUCUGCCUUGUUUUUUCCUAUAAUCAGGAAGACCAAACAGAGACAGAGGCGCACACACCAAGAAAGGCCAUGUGGGCACACAGCAAGAUGGUGCCUGUCUGCAAACUAGGAAAAGAGCCCUCACCAGGAACUGAAACAGCUGGCACCUUGAUGUUGGACUUUCCAGCCUCCACAACUGUGAGAGGCCAGCUGCCAGAAGCUUCUCACUCCGUGGAGACCUUGGAGUCGAGGAUGAAAUGUCUUACAACUGUGGGGAGACCUUGGCUUUUCCAAAGCCUACCAGGGUCCAGGUGAGAGCAGUGGUAACCCACAAGACUUGGAAGCUAAGGCCCAGAGAGGAGGAGAAACUUGAUCAAAGUCAAUCAGACAAUGCAGAAUCGAGAAAAGUACCUGGACCUCUAUGCCCAUGCUUCUAGCAGCCAGCCUCCUAAAAUACCUCUAGUUGAAGCCAAAGUUAGAAUCCUUCUACGAAACUACAGGAUUAAAAUGGUGAUUUUCUGAAGCAAUCUUGUUUUUCCCCCAUUGUUCUUACCUUUCUUCACCUAGGAGACCUAAAAGGCAGGGUUUUCUUCCCAGAACAUGUCUAAUAGUGCAUACCUGAGAUGACCCAGCUAUAAGCCUUUCUUGGUUUAACUGUAGGAGCCCAGGGGUAAAUGGAAUGGAACCAAGGAAGGCAGAGAGAUUGGGGUUGUCAACAUCAUAUCCUGCUUAGAGACUUCUGUAAAAGUUGUCUGAUCUUAUUUUACUUUCCCAACUGAACACUCUAAAGUGUGUCAAGACUUCUAGAUGUUUCUACCCAUUGCCUCCAAAAAUUUAGAUAUGUUUAAAUUCUAUGCCUUUUAAAAAAAUCAAGAAAUUCCUAAAUACUCCCUAAUUGAGAAAUAAUAAAAUUUAAAAGUUCGUAAUAGAGAGCAGUUUGGGGACCUACAGAAGUAGCAAGAGUGCAGGCAGCUCUGCAAUGGGUUCUCUUGCCUUUGUUUCUAAGUAUCAAACUCAGAAACCAACUAAGGGUUGAGGAUGUUGCAGUAGAUGCAUGUUGUCUGUGCCUUCUUAGUAUCCAUUCCCUGACAUUUCUGGUUAACAGUAUCCUGGUUUUUCUUUGGAAAAUCUGCCCUUCCUUAUUUUCAGUCCAAAUGAUUUGAAUGGGGCUGACUCUGACCCUUAACUCCCUUUCCAGGAAUGGUUACAUGACCCAGGCUUGACCAAUCAGAUCAUCCAAACCCUUUGCCACAGUGAUUGGUCCAGGGAUACAUGCAUGAGCCAGCUCAGGUAAAUGAGACUCAAUUAUAAGAAUUUUGUUAGCGCAAUUGGGAAAAAGAAGUUUUCUUUCCAUGAGAACUAUCAGCUAUAAGAAUGUUGGAUGCUUCCAUCUGCUGGAGUCCAUGAAGAAGGUCCAUGAAAAUGAAGCCAGCACAACAACACAGAGCUAAGACAUACAAAGAGAUGGAGAUUAAAUUGAAUGGAACUUUUAAGCCCCUACAUGCCCUUGAAGCCAGAUAUCCCUGAACUUUUAAUUUAUAUUAGUUGAUAAAGUCCUUCUUUAGCUUAAGCCAAUUUGAAUUAGAGUAUUUUUCACUUGGGGUCCAAAAGAGCUCUCAAUACAAAAGUCUGACUGAGUGCAUGAUGUGCUGGUUUCAACCUCAAGGGAACAGGGAAAGGGAAAGAAAGAGGCAGAGGUUGUGAACAGGACAGUAGAAGGUGGUCAGGAGACAAAUAUCUGGACUCAACUUUGUCCCUACUGUGUGGCCUUGAAUAGUGAGUUAACCACUCCGAGCCUCAGUUUCCCCAUCUGGAAAAAAAAGUUAGUGGACAGUCACUAGUUCUCAGACAGAACUCUGUAGCAGCGAGAGGGUAAUGGGGAUUGAGAGUCCCAGACUUGCAUUCUGAGGGACUAGCUCUCCUCUUAUCUAUAUCAUAUACCAGGUUUUCUUGUAAGGUUUUGUUAGAAUGGGUCUCACUGUUAAAAUGGAUUAGCUGAUCAUUUCAGUUCUAUUUAUAUUAAAGUCUAAAUUGAAUCAAGGCUCAGCUGGGGCCCAGUAAGAAUGUAGUGCCUGGUUAAUAAUAUUUUCUACUCUAUGAUAGGAGUUGGCCAGAAGCCAAGGUCAAAAACUCAAUCCCUGGAGGGUUUAUUUGCUUUCUGCAGACAUAAAAAAUUGUUAAUAACAAUGAUCUGCAUCCCCAAUCUUGAGAGCUGUCUUAGAGAUGUGGGUCAUUGAUCACAGAAGGGGCUGGGAAAAGGAAUGUGGAUGAUUCCAAAUAGUCAUUAGCUCUGCCUUAAAUGCCAAUACAAACACUACUGCCAAUGCUCAAGGCAAGCAACCUCUUCAUAGCUAGAACACAGAGGGUGGUGUGCUUGAAGGCUUUUGUUUCUCCUCAAGACAGUGUAGAAAAAGCUGAGAAAACAAAGAGCACUUGUUUCACAAUUAACUGCACAACACCUGAUGUAUAUCCACAGUCCUCUAAAUUAAUAUGGAUUCGCUUUUCUUUAUAAAGACAACAUACACAUUGUAGUGGAAAUCGGAUGGGAGGAUAAUUUUUAUGAAAGCAUAUAACAGUAUUUUUAUAAAAUAUAAAUUAUCAUUACAGUAAAAUAUAUUAACUUCAAGGCAAGUUUUGACACUGUAUGCAAGUUUAAAGUAUUUCAAAUUUUUAAAAAGUGUAUCUUAACAAAUAAAUUUUAGCACCAAUUGCCAGAAUUGUUGUCCACCACUAUAGUCAAAACAAUUUUCUUUUCUUUAUUUCAACUAAAAAUUGUGAAUGGGACUAAAGUCUUUAUGCAAAUAUAUACUCCAAUAAUAAUAUUAAUCUUGCCAACAGUAGCUGAAUAUUUAAUUAACUUUAACAAACAUGUUGAAAGAUAAUAAACUAAAAAAACUAUUUUUCCUUAUAGUCUCUGUAUAACUAGGUGCUUUCUCAUUAGAAAGCUUAUUUUUUCAAAAGUAUAUAUAACAUAGGUAAUUUAUAUUAAUAAAAAAUAAAAAGUUGCAAAUUUCUUGAGGUGUAAUUUCUCAUGUUGAUUAACUUCUGAUCUCUAUCAUUUUGCUUACAUGUACCAUAGAUACACAAAAACCAGAUGGGGGGCAGGGUAAUCAAUCUUAGGAGAGGGCAAUAGUUAAGUCAGACUAGGCAGAGUCAAGACAAGAGGCAGGCAGAGGGUUAGUUGAGGGCAAGUUAUGAAUGCCUCAGAACACAUCUCAGGAUUUGGAAACAAGCAGUAGUCUGGUCAAAUCCAAACUGGGAAACACAGAUGGCG
rnacentral:lncRNA from 10 species